AGCGAACGCUGGCGGCAGGCCUAACCCUUGCAAGUCGAACGGCCCCUUCGGGAUUAGUGGCGGACGGGUGAGUAACACGUGGGAACGUUCCCUUUGGUUCGGAACAACUCAGGGCAACUUGAGCUCAUACCGGAUGUGCCCUUCGGGGGAAAGAUUUAUCGCCAUUGGAGCGGCCCGCGUCUGAUUAGCUAGUUGGUGAGGUAACGGCCCACCAAGGCGACGAUCAGUAGCUGGUCUGGGAGGGUGAUUCGCCACACUGGGACGGAGCCGCGGCCCAGGCUCCUACGGGAGGAAGCAGUGGGGAAUCGUGGGAGAUGCGCGGAGGCCUGACGCGGCCAUGCCGCGUGAAGGAUGAAGGUCUUAGGAGGGGAAAGUUCUUUCAGCUGGGACGAUAAUGACGGUACCCGCAGAAGAAGCGCCGGCUAACUUCGUG
rnacentral:rRNA from 1 species